UUCAAUUGAGGUCUGGUUGAAUCCAAUUGAAACCAAUGGUCAGCCCAUUAUUUGGGGAAUUUUAGGAUCAUCGUCAGUCGUUUAGGGUUCAAGAAUCAAAACCCCUAAAUGUUAGAAAUCAUUUGUUUAGGGUUAUAAUCGUGCCUUCAAAGACAUUCUCAAUUGGGUUGUCUGAUGCUCUUAGUUGUGUACAUCUUCAUUUUUAAAUUUAAUUGUUAUGCUUUGAGUUGUUUCAGGCCGAUGCACUUCGUGAGAGAUUCAAUGCGAACAAGAACGUGGUUAGUUUCUCUUUUAUUUUGAUACGUAUAGUUAUGAUUGUGUUCACUAUGUUUAGUGUGAAAUUAGGAGUUGACUUGUUCAUAAGUAUAGGGAACACAGGGUAACAUGAAUGCAACUUAAAAUAUAGGCCCUUCAACAAAAGUCGAAUGUGUUGGCAAGUUGACUUUUUUCAUUUUUUCUUUCAGCUGAGAGGAUCUCCGGAUAUUAAUGUUUGUUGUUGUGCUUCAGUAACAAUUUUAUCAGCUCCCAACUCCGGAAAUCUUGAAAAUAUUGUUGAAGUUUUUGAAAGCUCAAAGGAGCCCCCUGUUGAUGAAAGUGAUAGUAACGAUACUGAUGAAAGUGAUUCUCUGAUGAUAUUGAAGAUUCUGAUCAUAGGUUAUAUACAUCAUUGUGUUGUAGGUUUUGCUUGUUUGUGAAUUUACCUUGGGCCUGGGUUAAUCUGUAGUUAAUAAUCUGGUGGUAGCCUAUCCAUAUCUUGUUGAUUCUCUCAAAGGUUUUCUUUGAAGAAUUGCAUUGCAGUCAUGGGCUUUCUUGUUUAUGGAGGAAGGAUGAGCCAACCCCACUUGAUAUAAAAAAGGACCCUAAAAGCAUGUGAGAUGAUAAAUAUGGUAGAAAAGAUUCAUGGGAAGAUGAAGAUGAACCCUCUCCGCCACAAGUGGUAGCACCUCCUGUUGUGAAGGCCGCAAAGAAGUCAACAGUCAAACCGGCUCCAAGAAAAAGGGAUAGCUGUUGUUGAACUAGCAAAAGAGGUGCAUUAAAUCCUUUACUAGAAAAGCUCUAACAAUGAAGGUAUGCACCAUUAAUGGUAUCACCAUUUAUUCGUCUGAAAAUAUACAGUGCAAUCGUAUAAAUUUUGUUACUCUUGUGCAUGGCAUCUUGUGGAGUUGCCUUUUUAUAGCUUUUCCUUCAUUUGUAUGAUGAAUAUAGCAAUUUCAAUUUGGAUCUGUUGGCUUCUUUUCACCUAUGAACCAUUUUCAUGUU